AACACCAUGCCAGGCUGGUUGUCGUUCUUGCGGGCCGAGGGCGACAAUUGGCCAGACUGGAGCCGAUGAUUCCCUGCCUAUCCUUUUUUCUCAGGGAGCCGGUAACUGGGGACCCUGCAUGCAGCUUGGGGGUUCCUGUCAGUGGAAAAGAAGGUGGAGUGUGAGAGCUGGCGGCCCACAUGUCUUGGGAGGCUUCAGAGGUGAUGAGCGAGGCCCAUGGUGGUCCGGAUCUCCCACCAGCCCCUGCUCUUUUUCUUGGUUUGGGGGGGGGGAGCGGGAAGAAUGGUAAUUUGGUUUAUGCUUCGGGGCACCAAGAUACCCUGCCCCUUUAUCCCUACGAACCUAAGGACUAAGAGUGUGGCAUCUAACGUUAGCAUCCAACGUCCAGGUUUGCCUCCCGCUUCCUCGUACUAAUUCUGUGAGUUACUUAACCUUCCCGCGCCUCUCUUUUCUUACCCGUAAAAUAGGAGUAUUGAUUAUAGCAUCUUGGAAGAAGCGUGAAAUUCGCUGGAUAAACUCUGCUCACAGUUCCUCUUUUUAGCCAAGACACAAGACUCUGGCCAGGGAAGGUUCCCGCGCCCACAGCGGAACUGCGGGGAUGGGGCCAAUUUAUUGCCCCCCCCCCGCCCCCACCAAAAAAACCCCGCAGCUCGCAAGUCGCGCCUCUGGGAUAGCUGCUGUGGCUGAGACGGAGCUCCUCCUGGCGGGGACCGAGCCUGAGCGGGACCCGGGACCCCGCGCCUCGGGAGCACCCCUCCCCCGCCCCCUUCGCCCCAAGGAGGGCCCUCCAGCCGUCCGGGUGUGCCUCUCAAGCAGGCACAGAGAGGCAUCGAUAGGCAUCUGGGUGAUCAGGCAGUACCCCGGGGAACCCACCUGGAUUCUCUUGGCCAGGUGCCUGGAAUACAACGCAGGUGUGAGAGUGGGAGUCUUCCUACACCAGCCCACCCCUCUGACAGCGAUCCUGGGGGCCUCCCUUUGCUGCUGCUUCCCCAACACCACUUAUCUCUGAAUUCUAGGGUCAUGUUCAUUCCUAGGUCCCCAGAUAACGGCACCGCAUUUCAAACUGGGUCUUGUCUGUGCGCUUGGAGAUGUGUGCUGGUGUGCACUAAAACACUCACGAUGGGCGCCUGGAUGGCUCAGUGAAUUAAGUCUCUCUGCCUUGGGCUCAGGUCAUGAUCUGGGAUGGAGC